rnacentral:ncRNA from 2 species
CUCUUAUCAAGAGCAGGUGGAGGGAUCACACCCGUCGAAGCCCAGCAACCUCUUUUUUAUAAAGAAAGGUGCUAAAGAACGCAGAGUAUUCUGAGCGAUAAGGG